rnacentral:lncRNA from 1 species
UUGCAUUGCUGUCAAUGUGGGUGUGUUGACACUGCAUUUUCAAAGAACUGCUUUAGUGGCCACGCAUUGUUUAUGUCACAAUGAGCCCAUGGUGGAGGGAUCUGGAAUGGAACAUUCCGAGAUGGGGCCUGCACAUACAUUAGGCAAAGAGGCACGCACUGAGGUCCUCUGGGUGCCAGUAGCCACAGGAAACACUCCGAGGAUAUGCAAAGGUCAUGGGAAUGGUGGCCCAGGUGAUGAUAGAGCAAAAGGGAGCAGAGAAAGUGGGUGCGUGAAAGCAAACAGGUGGCAUCACUGGAAGACACUGGUGACUAGGUGAAAUGUCAUCCAAGACAAUGUUUCAUGAAGACAAUGUUUCAUAAAGACACCGGCUGAUUUUGCCAACAAUUUCACUUUCCUAACUCUUAUCUAAUGUCACUAUCCUCCCUUCACAGUGGGAAUAAUACAAUGCUUUUUUCAUCCAGGG